AUUGAACGCUGGCGGCAGGCUUAACACAUGCAAGUCGAGCGGGGUGAUGGUGCUUGCACUAUCACUUAGCGGCGGACGGGUGAGUAAUGCUUAGGAAUCUGCCUAUUAGUGGGGGACAACAUCUCGAAAGGGAUGCUAAUACCGCAUACGUCCUACGGGAGAAAGCAGGGGAUCACUUGUGACCUUGCGCUAAUAGAUGAGCCUAAGUCGGAUUAGCUAGUUGGCGGGGUAAAGGCCUACCAAGGCGACGAUCUGUAGCGGGUCUGAGAGGAUGAUCCGCCACACUGGGACUGAGACACGGCCCAGACUCCUACGGGAGGCAGCAGUGGGGAAUAUCGGACAAUGGGGGGAACCCUGAUCCAGCCAUGCCGCGUGUGUGAAGAAGGCCUUAUGGUUGUAAAGCACUUUAAGCGAGGAGGAGGCUCUUUUGGUUAAUACCCAAGAUGAGUGGACGUUACUCGCAGAAUAAGCACCGGCUAACUCUGUGCCAGCCGCCGCUGUAA
rnacentral:rRNA from 1 species